rnacentral:rRNA from 1 species
CCCUGUGGGAAGCAGGAGGGACCACCCUCCAAGGCUAAAUACUACCUAGUGACCGAUAGCGUAUAGUACCGUGAGGGAAAGGUGAAAAGAACCCCGGGAGGGGAGUGAAAUAGAACCUGAAACCCUGUACUUACAAGCUGUGGAAGCACAUUUCUUGUGUGACCGCGUACUUUUUGUAGAACGGGCCAACGAGUUACGUUAAGUAGCAAGGUUAAGCACUUAAGGUG